UACGAAGGGGACUAGCGUUGUUCGGAAUUACUGGGCGUAAAGCGCACGUAGGCGGAUUUGUAAGUCAGGGGUGAAAUCCCGGGGCUCAACCUCGGAACUGCCUUUGAUACUGCAAAUCUCGAGUCCGAUAGAGGUGGGUGGAAUUCCUAGUGUAGAGGUGAAAUUCGUAGAUAUUAGGAAGAACACCGGUGGCGAAGGCGGCAUCCUGGUCCUGUACUGACGCUGAGGCGCGAGAGCGUGGGGAGCGAACUGG
rnacentral:rRNA from 1 species